rnacentral:rRNA from 1 species
GAUGAACGCUGGCGGCGUGCCUAAUACAUGCAAGUCGAGCGAACAGACGAGGAGCUUGCUCCUCUGACGUUAGCGGCGGACGGGUGAGUAACACGUGGAUAACCUACCUAUAAGACUGGGAUAACUUCGGGAAACCGGAGCUAAUACCGGCUAAUACUUUCAACGGCUGGAUCCAUAGGAUAAUCCGGUUUUGCCCGUCCCUAUAAGCGGAUCCCGCGCCGCAUUAGCUAGUUGGUAAGGUAACGGCUUACCAAGGCAACGAUGCGUAGCCGACCUGAGAGGGUGAUCGGCCACACUGGAACUGAGACACGGUCCAGACUCCUACGGGAGGCAGCAGUAGGGAAUCUUCCGCAAUGGGCGAAAGCCUGACGGAGCAACGCCGCGUGAGUGAUGAAGGUCUUCGGAUCGUAAAACUCUGUUAUUAGGGAAGAACAAAUGUGUAAGUAACUAUGCACGUCUUGACGGUACCUAAUCAGAAAGCCACGGCUAACUACGUG